rnacentral:rRNA from 1 species
UCCGUAGGUGAACCUGCGGAAGGAUCAUUAGUGAAUAUAGGACGUCCAACUUAACUUGGAGUCCGAACUCUCACUUUCUAACCCUGUGCACUUGUUUGGGAUAGUAACUCUCGCAAGAGAGCGAACUCCUAUUCACUUAUAAACACAAAGUCUAUGAAUGUAUUAAAUUUUAUAACAAAAUAAAACUUUCAACAACGGAUCUCUUGGCUCUCGCAUCGAUGAAGAACGCAGCGAAAUGCGAUAAGUAAUGUGAAUUGCAGAAUUCAGUGAAUCAUCGAAUCUUUGAACGCACCUUGCGCUCCAUGGUAUUCCGUGGAGCAUGCCUGUUUGAGUGUCAUGAAUACUUCAACCCUCCUCUUUCUUAAUGAUUGAGGAGGUGUUUGGUUUCUGAGCGCUGCUGGCCUUUACGGUCUAGCUCGUUCGUAAUGCAUUAGCAUCCGCAAUCGAACUUCGGAUUGACUUGGCGUAAUAGACUAUUCGCUGAGGAAUUCUAGUCUUCGGAUUAGAGCCGAGUUGGGUUAAAGGAAGCUUCUAAUCAGAAUGUCUACAUUUUAAGAUUAGAUCUCAAAUCAGGUAGGACUACCCGCUGAACUUAAGCAUAUCAAUAAGCGGAGGA